rnacentral:lncRNA from 1 species
GUUGCCCCUAAACACUGAUCUAGGAUCAGAUUCCACCCCCAGAUUCUAACCUUAAAUGAUAAUGGGGAAAAUGAAAAAUGUAUCUAAAGACCGAACGUAUGUGCUCGCAUACACCCCUAAAAGACCUUUGCUUGAAAAAAUAGAAAUAGUACUGUUUGUCCAUUUGGAAUGCCGUAGCCAGUACACACUUCCUCAAAAUAAUCAGAAUGAAUCUAAAAUAACUUUAGAAAUCUGUCAUACAUUUUUACGUUUUUGCCGAGGAGAUCUUAGUCGCGCAGUUUUACAGUGGUGGGAAAAGUACUCAAUUGUCGUGACUUAAGUGAAAGUAAAAUACUACUUAAGUAAAAGGCUAAAAGUAUUUGGUUUUAAAUAUACUCAAGUAUCAAAAGUAAAUGAAAUUGCUAAAAUAUACUUAAGUAUCAAAAGUAAAAAAUCAUUUUAAAUUCCUUCUAUUAAGCAAACCAGACGGCGUAAUUUUCUUGUAGUUUUAAUUAACGGAUAGCCAGGGGCACACUCCAACAUAAUUUACAAACUACUCAUUUGUGUUUAGUUCGUCCGCCAGAUCAGAGGCAGUAGGGAUGACUAGGGAUGUUCUCUUGAUAAGCGCGUUUAAUUUGACAAUUUUCCUGUCCUGCUAAGCAUUCAAAAUGUAGCGGGUAGUUUUGGGUGUCAUGGAAAAUGUUUGGUCAUAAAAAGUAUAUUAUUUUCUUUAGGAAUGUAGUGGAGUAAAAGUAGUAAAAAAAUAUAAAUAGUAAAGUACAAAUAGCCCCAAAAACGAAUUAAGUAGUACUUUAAAGUAUUUUUACUUAAGUACUUUACACCACUGCAAUUUUACAUCUAACUAAGAUGUUUGGUGCAGUAUUUCACAAUGAAAGAAUUUGCAUGAAAACGUGUCAUUUCUCAUUGAAUGACAACAGACUUUAUAGAGCCCCACAGUGGAGGUGUUAUAAUACCCAUAAAACCUAGCGGUCAAACCGGGAAAUGGUUCCAGUCGUUUUUCCACCAUACAUUUUUCCCAUAGGGGAUUUUAGAUACACUUAAAAUAAGGGCUGUGUUUCGUGUAGGCUUACCCUGGUGUGAUGUUUUGAUAACCAUGUAAAUCUCUAUUGGACAAGGUGACUUUUAUCAAUAUAUUCGGCUCUAUUUACUUUGAUUCUAAAAUGCUAAUUAGCAUCAAAGUUGACAUCAUGCAAGACUACAAAUCCCUGCAAGCUCCUGCACGUCACCUGUUGCUGACAUCUUUGUAUUGUGUUCAUUUAAAACGUGCACAAGACCGUAAACAGAAUUGUCAAUUUAAAUUAAAUGUUAAUGUAUUCAUUAGUACAUUUAGCUAACAUUAGAUAAUUAAUAUGCACAAACACAUCCAAACUGUUUUGGCUGGGAAACAUGCGGACUCCUUAAGAUCAGCGUCCGGGGCAACUUCUCCUGACUUAAUGUUUAUGUCCCAAAUGGCACCCUAUUUCCUACAUAGUGCACUACUUUGGGUCCUGGUCAAAAGUAGAGCACUACAUAGGAAAUAGGGUGCCAUUUGGGAUGCAUCCCAUAUAAAUACUGUACAUAUCUGAGAGAGACUAAAAAGUGUGCUCAUUUGCACCCAGCACAAUCUCAACUGAAGCCUGAUGUGAGGGCAGGUGAGGUGAUGUGAGGUGAUAUGAGGGCAGGUGAGGUGAGGGCAGGUGAGGUGAGGUGAGGGCAGGUGAGGUAAGGUGAGGGCAGGUGAGGUGAGGGCAGGCCUGUCUUGGUUUGGACCUGUUCUACUGCUUCUGACCUACUGUUUUGAUGUCUCUAAUGUUCUUCUAAGCUGUUGAAAUAACAAGCUUUUCUAAUCAAAGUGCUUGUCUGUCGUGUAACUUUUCCAUAAGCACACAGCUCACACCUUCAAGAUAAUUCUCUGAGAUGAUCAUUUUCUCCAGUGUGAGGAUCAUCAAAGCAAGACAGUGCCGAUCUGAUGUUACUUCUUCAACUCAGCCCAUUUUGUUGUCAAUACAGAAGAUCAUUCAGUCACAUUUAUUCAUUCACUCAGAGGGAGAGAACAUUUCAACACUGCUUAUUCUACCACUCAUCUCAACAGUUUUUCUGUUGUAGAGUUAUGUUUUUGUUGAAAAGGUAACAGCAGCUACACCACAUUUACUUAAAGAGGAUCCUUUGAGCCAACAUCCUGUCAGCCGGCCCAUAAACACCUCAAGGGGACAGUUCAGCAGGCCGUAGGGAGGGGAGGGGGGUAAACAGGCCUGUAGCCCUUCCAGUCAAUACAAGCAGAGAAGAAGAGGGGGGAAGUCAGGAAGGGAGGGAGGAGGGGAGGAGGGAUACAGAGGCUAUUCUCCCUCUGAUGUAGUCCUGUUGACAAUGGGAGGAGGGCUUGACACCUUGCUCUUGGUUCUAGCAGGUAGAUUGCUCCUCCUGUCCUAUCCUCUCUAGCCCUGACUGGAGACUGAUGGUGGUGGGAGACAGAGGUUGUAUCCCAAAGUUCCUAUCUAGAACAUUACGUUUGACCAGGGCCCAUAGUGUCCUGACCUCUCCUGUCUUGAGGGGAGAUCUUCCCUCCCUGUGUCUCCUUGUCUCGCUCCCUCCCUGUCUUCUCUCCCUCCCUGUCUUCUCUCCUUCCCUCCCUGUCUUCUCUCCUUCCCUCCCUCCGUCUUCUCUCCUUCCCUCCCUCCGUCUUCUCGCCUUCCCUCCCUCCCUCCGUCUUCUCGCCUUCCCUUCCUCACUGUCUCCUCUCCCUCCCUGUCUUGUUCUCACCCUCCCUUCCUGUUCUCCCUCCCUCCUUCCCUCCCUGUCUUCUCGCUCUCCCUCCCUGUCUUCUCAUCUGCCCUCCCUUCCUGUCUUCUUCUCUCCUUCCCUCGCUCCCUGUUUUCUCUUCUCCCUACCUCCCUUCCCUCCCUCCCUUCCCUCCCUC